rfam:Salmo salar isolate Sally breed double haploid chromosome ssa09, whole genome shotgun sequence.
UGGCUCAGUUGGUAGAGCAUGGUGUUUGCAACGCCAGGGUUGUGGGUUCGAUACCCAC